rnacentral:rRNA from 1 species
GAUGAACGCUGGCGGCGUGCCUAAUACAUGCAAGUCGAACGCUGGAGAUCUAGCUUGCUAGUUCGAAGGAGUGGCGAACGGGUGAGUAAUACAUAAGCAACCUACCCACGAAGACUGGGAUAAUCUCUGGAAACGGGGACUAAUACCGGAUAGGUAAUCGGAAGGCAUCUUCUGGUUAUUAAAGGUUAAAAACACUGGUGGAUGGGCUUAUGGCGCAUUAGUUAGUUGGUGAGGUAACGGCCCACCAAGACGAUGAUGCGUAGCCGGCCUGAGAGGGUGAACGGCCACAUUGGGACUGAGACACGGCCCAGACUCCUACGGGAGGCAGCAGUAGGGAAUUUUCGGCAAUGGGGGCAACCCUGACCGAGCAACGCCGCGUGAGUGAAGACGGCCUUCGGGUUGUAAAGCUCUGUUGUAAGGGAAGAACGGUAGAUAGAGAAUAUCUAAGUGACGGUACCUUACCAGAAAGCCACGGCUAACUACGUG